GCACUGAAUUGAAAUGCAUGACAGGCUGGAUUCUUUGAGUGUGGGGCAGUGGGGACCCUAGAACACGUGCCAUCGGUCUGGCCCACCUCUGGGUUAAGGAUAUCCUGGAUGUCAUUUCAAGUUCUGUGUUGUCUAGGCAGUCAUGGUAUUUUGAUUCUUAUUUGGGAGCGGCAGAUUGAGGGGAGCUGGAAGGUGUUCCCAGGACCUCGAUUCACGGACCACUGACCAGGGAGGGGCUCCUCAGCCCACCUGUCGGUAGGGGGAGCUGCCGGUAGGGGGAGCUCUGUCACUGUGGCCGCCCCUCUCGCGGUCUGGGCGGAGGGUCUGCGGAGGGCCGAGGAGGGGCUUAGGAGCGGCCAGUGGGAGGCUCUCCUCUGCAGCAGAGCAGGACCUGAGGUGUGAGCUGAACAGCAGCUGAUGAGUCCUUGGCUGUAGGGGCCUAGCUGGAAAAGCCGCGGAAACCUACCAGCCUGGAGCUCGGGGUUUGCCAGGGUACUCAGGCUGAGCACGUAGAGGAAACGUCCCCAAGUCCUGACAGGGAGUGGAGCCAGGCCGGGGCGAGGACAGAGGGAAGCCCCUUCAAUUAGCCCGAAGCUGCAGCAGCACCUGCUCACUGGGACGCAGGAUGCAGAGUCACCCCCCCACCCACGUCCCCGCCCGGCGCUGCGUGUGGGGCACUGGCUGCAGUUGGGGGCGCGGGCAGGCAAGACAGAACUUGGAGUCCUGAACCUGUGCUGUGUGUGUGACCAGGCGCCCCGACCUGUCCCUGGCCGCUGUGCUGUACCCAGGGGCAGGAGAGUCUACAUGGGCGGUCUCCACGCAGCCACUGGCCCUUCCUGACUCGGGUUGACUCCUUCCAUGCUCUCGAGCCCCAGGCCCAGACGGGGAGGAGGGGAGGGUAAGGUAAAGGAAACGUCCUUCCACUCCAGUCCUUGCUCAGUGGCGUGUGAGCAUUCGGGUGACAGAUACGUGUGGGCGCCACGUGUGCAUUUCCAGGACUCUUGGCAGGGCGGGGUGGGGUGAGCAGGUCUUCUGUUCCGUGGAGCUUGCUUUUUGCUUCUGUUCGGCGACUGCAGAGUCACUUCUCCCCCAUCUCUGGGGCACACUAGAUGCUGCCCCAGGUCAGGACGUUAGGAUUGUUGUCAUUCUUACAUACGUGCGAUGACAUUCUGUGUGGACUCAGUCUAGGCACUGGAGUGGGGUGGCUGGGGAGGUGAGAGGUCUUAGAGGCCGAGCCCAGGAGCACAUUAAUAUAGCGCCUUUAUUUAUUUUUUAAAUUUGAAAUGUUAGGGCAGGCCCAGGAGUUAUUUCUCAGUGGGGAGGAAUCUAGCAGAAGUAGGUCAGUGUGGUUUUGUUCAGAACUAUCCUGCCGUUACUGGGGACUUCUGAGAUCCUUCUUUGUGCCUGGAAUAUUGAAGUUGGGAUUGAGAUUGGGAUUGGGAUGUCUGGGAGCAUAGUUGGUUCAAAGACGGAGGAAGGAUUCACUGCAGCUUUUCCUGGAAGGUCUCUGUGUCGAGAAGAACCUUCCCUGUAUCCUUCCACCUUGAGGUCCAAGAAGAGGUCCACUGUGCGGCUGGAAGGAGUUUAGGGGAAUCCUCUUGGAAUGAAAAAUUAGAGACUCCCUCUGAGUGAAUAGGGAAGGGACCAUUUUUCUGUUUGUGAUAAAAUUGGUGGUGAACUGAAUUUCAGAGAUGGAGAGAGUCUCUCUCCCUCUGCAGCUUCUGGGGUCGUUUAAGUCCCAUAAGGUUGGUCCCAAGGAUCUCAUGAAAAAUUGCUGUGACCCACCCUGCUUCCCUCCUUUGUAAGCCUCACUUUAUAGUAUUGCUGGGGAAGGCAGCUUCACUUUCUCUUUCCUGCCAUCUGGGUGGUCUGGGCCCUCUGUGGUGCAGAGAACAGUUAUUGUACAGCCCCACGCGAGUCCACAGGGAUGUCCUGACCUUCUGCAAAUAUGUGUCUAAAUCUAAACUUUAUCUUUAUAAAUCAGUUAGCUAGCUCUGCUUGCUAGAAGCACAGUAACUCUCUUAAGUUUUCCAGUUCAGAGUUUUCAGCUCAUGAUGGACUCAAACGCAAGGCUAAGUCUCUCUGUCUAUAUUGAGGCAACAUUAGGUAAAAGGGAGGGCUGAAUACUCAGGUCAGCGUAUCUGGUUAUGACAUGUCAUCCUUCUCCAAGUCCUGCUGUGGCUCCUCACUGCUCUUAGAAAAAGACCAAAGCCAUUUAGAACGUUGACAAAGCUCAGCAUCAUGUGCCCUCCUUGGGAUCUAUGUUCUUCGGGGGCCCAUUCCCCACCACUCUCUGGACUCUAGUCACUGGGGACCUUGGUUCCCUGAGUCUCUCGUGCUCUUUCCAACCUCAAGGGCUUUGCAUAUGUUGCUCCAUUUUCCAAGCAUGUUCUUGCUCAACCCUCUCCCAUCCUUCUUUCUAGUAAUUCCCACUCAUCUUUCAGGGCCCAGGCUAAGUGUCACUUCCCCAAGGACACCUUCCCCAACCACCCAGACACCCAGAUUGUGUUUCACCAGCUACUCUCACAGCCCCUGGUUGCACUUGUCACAGUUAUAAGUACUUUGAAUUGUAUAAUUAAUUAUCUUUUCUUUUCUCAGUUAGAAUGUAAGCUUCACCGAGGUGGGACCUGUGAGUUUAUCUUUCAUCUUGCUCAUCAUCCAGCAUAGUUCCCAGCACAAAUUAUGUACUCAACAAAAAUGUGCUGAAUGAGUGAGUAAAUGAAUGGGGGCACCAAGUUGCCACUGGAAUCCCUCUGGCCUUCCACUAGACAGACUCCUGUUUCAAAUAGUGUGGGUAGAUGCUGUUUCUUGUUCAUAUGUAUUGCAGGGGAGAACCCCGGAUGGGCUAAGUAGUUUUACAUAUAGCUCUUGUGACUUUUUGAAGCUUAACUCUUGUGAGAUGACCACAGUCUCGACUCCUCCUGUUUUAUCUCUCCCAAAGAGUUUCUGCUAAGGCAGGGUCCAGUCCGCUCCUUACAGUGCCCACUGCCUUUUCCCUCCUGAUCCUUAGAUCCUUAACUUUCUGGUCUUUGUGGGACAAUGUGGCUUUCUCUGGGCAAGGCCCAGGAUGCUCCCCCAUCCAGGGAGGGGUUUUGGCUAUCCUCUCCUGAGUUACAGCUCCAAAGCUAGGAUUCCCAGCUUGGUCUACUCUGCCAAAGAUGUAAUUGCAGGAUGAGACUGAGGAGCAGAUCAUUUGGACUGCUAGGGAUGGUUUGGGAGCAAACUUUAAUAUCUCCUGGAGAAUUAGUCUGUGCAAGUCCCCCAGGACUCUGCACCUUGACACCUGGGCUCAGGAGCAGCUGAGAAAGCUGCCCGCAAACUCCCCUUUUCCUAGAGAACUGGAGUGUAGGUUGAGGGCUGGGCUCUGAGCAUGUAGGACAUGCCAGUUGUUUGUUGUGGGCAUGCUCCACCCCCAGCCACUCCCUCACCUGUCUGUCCUUGGGCUCCCUCGUGCUGAGUCAGCAACAUCCAGGAGACCCUGCUGCCUUGGCAUUGUGCAGCCAAGCUAAGCCAAGUCUGGUUACAAUGAGUCAGUUCACCUGGAAGCUCAUAUCCUGUACUCUCUUCCAGUGUGGUGCUUAGCCAGCUGGCACGCAAUAGUGAAGAACAACCCUGGGAACUGUGGUUGCUGAAGACUCAUGACCCUGCACAAGCCAACGCCAAGAGCUGUGUGGCUGGGGAGGCCAUCUCACUGCCAGGCGCUCGCUGUGCUCUGUGUUGGUUCCUGUCUGGAGACCGUGGCUCUGGCUGGCAGUCAGAAAUCCACUGCUGGUGCUUGUCGGUGGCUUGGCUCUCCUCCAUCUUGCCAGGGCAUUUGGAUCUUUUUUCUGUGUUCUGUGUAUGAGCUUGGGAAGCAGGCCAGAAGUUCUCCUUGGAAAUUUCCUCCAUUGAUGUAAUUUUCCAUUCUAGUCCCAAGGGAGACAUGGUUCUUUAUUUCCUCCACGUGGACACUUUCUCCUGCCUUUGGCUGAGAUAUAGAAACCUCGGGUAUUACCAAUGCUUUGGGGAGAGGAAGGGGCAAGAGGGCACAUUCAGCAGGUGGCACCGGCAAAAUAGAGUUGAGUGUGGUCACCCAGUGCUGGUUGAAGCUUGAAUCUCCAGGGUUGCAAGUCAGCUGAGAAGGGAGGCAGUUACAGACCUAUUUCUUAGCUCCUGGACUGAUUGGCUGCGGCUUUUAUCAGGAAUUCACUGGCAUUUCCGUGAGUACCAGUGUUGACUUCUGUUUCAGGCUGAAUGGUGUCCCCCACUUCAAAUGUAUAUGUUGAUAACCUCCAGGCCUUCAGAAUGUGACUGUGUUUUGAUUCAGGGUCUUCAAAGAGGUAAUUAAGGUAAAAUGAGGUCAUCUGGGUGGGCCCUAAUCCAAUAUGUUAGUGUCCUUGGAAGACGAGUCAGGGACAAGAGGAGAAGUGGUCAUCUGCAAGCCAAGGAGAGAGGCCCUCCGAAGAAGGCGAUGCUGCCAGCAUCUUCAUCUUGGCCUUCCAGCCCCCACACAUGUGAAGGAAGUGAAUUUCUAUCAUUUAAGCCACCCAGUCAAUGGUGCUUUGUUUUUGUAGCCCUAUCAAAGUCAAAUAACCUCCUCUAGACAUAGAGGGGGUUUGCGGAAGGGCCAAGAAAACAGUAUAUUAGAGGCCCCCCUCCUUGUGAGCUCUGAAGAUUGGUGGCCUCUUUCUGUUUUCUCUCUGCUUCAGGCAGCUACCAACCUCAUCUUUGUUUUGGUGGUUACCCCAGUGGCUAAUAUACAGCAUUCCUCUUGAUAGUUUAUCUCCCCUCUAUGAGAACCUCCUGAGAGAAGCUGAAGAACCUCAGUGUCACCCAGCAUGGCCGGCCUGCCCUCCAGGAGCGUACAUGCCAGAGGGAGGAAAGAUAUGAAGACUGUUUCACUGCAGCCUGAUUUCUGGGAGAAUCCUCAGGCGUAACCCCAGGAACCCAGCCAGUGCAGCUGCCCCUCGCAGAUGAUCAGAGGAAACUCUGACUCUCCACAAAGCAAAGAUGGAACUGAAAGCGCCCACUUGUGAGAAGACAUGAGCUUGAGGAGGGCUGUGCCCACCCCACAGGGACUGUGUGUUGCCUUCCGAUGAACUGUUUGUUUCACACUGAGUGGAGCCCACCUAGGUGAUGACUUGUGACAAGAACACCCGGCUGAGUCCAGAUCAGCAAAGAGAGGACAGGAAGAGGGAGAGAAGCAGACGCAGCCAUGUGAAGCCGUGACUGGCAGAAGCCUCGUCAGAACUUCUGGUUAACAUUAUUUUUAGUCCUUUAAGCAGAGAUAAAACUUUGACAAGGGAGGUCUUUGUAUUUGAUCUCUUUGUGUGUGUGUGUGUAUAAAGAAACUGUUGGGGACCCGGGGACAUAGAGGAGUGUUGGAGCCAUCAGACUCCCUCCAAAACACCAGGUUCACCCUGAGUCUGUCCUGGGUGCUGAGUCCCCUCAAGGUUAAGGGAAACC